ACCUGCGGAAGGAUCAUUGUCAAGACCCUAACCAAAAGAGACUGUGAAUGCGUCAUCUAUGCUGCUAAGUGACGGCUCUUACGCCGUCUCUCGGCCUGAGCCCUAAGACCCUCCUAAUGAGGGGAUGAUGGCCAAACAGAACCCACGGCGCUGGAUGGCGUCAAGGAAUACUGAAGCUGCAUGCUCGGGGUUACAGCCAGCAUGCUGGACGAACGCUGCGCUGCAAUGCUACCUGAAUCUAUAAGACUCUCGGCAACGGAUAUCUUGGCUCUCACAUCGAUGAAGAACGUAGCAAAAUGCGAUACCUGGUGUGAAUUGCAGAAUCCCGUGAACCAUCGAGUUUUUGAACGCAAGUUGCGCCUGAGGCCUCAUGGUUGAGGGCACGUCUGCCUGGUCGUCACGCCAAAAGCCACUCCACUGGCAUAAUACUUGAUGGAUGUGGCAUCUUGUCUUCCAUGCUGCUUGAUAUGGUAGGCUAAAGUAAGAGGCUGCUGGCCAUGGUGCCGAUUGGAACACAUGGUGGAUAACAUAGGUUGUUCUCAGAGUUGUGACAUGGAGCUCCUUCGGCUGAAUUGGCAACCUGUAUCCCAUGGACCGAGCAAUGAUUGCUCGCACUACGACCCCAGGUCAGUCGGGACUACCCGCCGAAUUUAAGCAUAUCAAUAAG
rnacentral:rRNA from 1 species